AUACUUAACUGGCAAGGGAAAUACCAUGAUCAUGAAGGAGGUUUUCCCAGGUCCCCAGGGCAAGGCUUAUCCAUUGCACUCCGGAUGUGCUGACCACUGAGAUUUCCCCCAAAUGCAGAAAAUUGCAUAAUUUGUGGUAGUGGGGGACUGAUUUCGUGCUCUCCUCUG
ensembl:snRNA U1 U1 spliceosomal RNA